rnacentral:rRNA from 1 species
AGCGAACGCUGGCGGCGUGCCUAACACAUGCAAGUCGAACGUGAAAGGGAGCAAUCCCCAGUAAAGUGGCGUACGGGUGAGUAACACGUAGGUAAUCUACCCCAGAAUCUGGAAUAACCGGCCGAAAGGCUGGCUAAUACUGGAUAGAGCGACGGAAUCCGUAAUUGGGUUUUUCGGGAAAGGGAGCCUGUAAAAAGGCCUUCGUUCUGGGAUGAGCCUGCGUCCCAUCAGCUAGUUGGUGAGGUAAAAGCUUACCAAGGCAAUGACGGGUAGCUGGUCUGAGAGGACGAUCAGCCACACUGGAACUGAAACACGGUCCAGACUCCUACGGGAGGCAGCAGUGGGGAAUCUUGCGCAAUGGACGAAAGUCUGACGCAGCAACGCCGCGUGAGUGAAGACGGCCUUCGGGUUGUAAAGCUCUGUCGAGUGGGACGAAAAUGCUUGGAGUUCACAGCUCCAGGAACUGACGGUACCACUAAAGGAAGCACCGGCUAACUCCGUG